AUCUCUUCUUUCUGUAAAUUUUAAGCGGAUUUUUAAGAAUACGUAUUCAUGUUGUCGGAUUGAUCGUGCUUUUCACAUGCGUGAAAAGACUUAGACUGGCUUUCAAGUUUGGCUUCAAAUAUUCGGUUGGAGGUAUAGCAUUCCAUAUUAUUCAUUUCACUGUUUCAGUGCUCCAAUAAUUUGUUCAUCGGUUUCUAAUUCAUGAUACUUCAUCUUGGAAGAGUAUUUGGGAACAUUGGUAAUUUGACCUUUGACCAGUAUAUAAUCUCUCAGUAUUCUUAUACCCAAAUAUGGCUUCAUGAAAUGGAAUAUUAAAUCUAUCACCAUUACUUGCAUGGUUUUACAACACUUUUACAACACAUGUUAAUUUUCGAAAUCUAAUAAAUAUUAUCAUUAUCUUUUUAUUGUUUUCAACUUAAGGUAAUCCUCA